GGCUGUGUGAGCCCUCCCGGAGGCGGGAGGGGAGCGUGGCGGUGACGUCACACGGUGCUUCGUGGAUCGUUGAUGGUGGUACUGGAAGACCUGGUGCCUUCUCUUCUGCAGUAUGGACAAGCCCAGCUUCUUCAGUCUUUCUUUGAAGGAGAGGUGCUCCAGUCCUCUGAUCAUCCUCAUGAUACUCCUCUGGACCUGCUCCAACAGCCCCACGUCUUUCUUGUGCUGGAUGCAGUACUCCAG
rnacentral:lncRNA from 1 species